UACGGAGGGAGCUAGCGUUGUCCGGAAUCAUUGGGCGUAAAGAGCGUGUAGGCGGCUUGGUAAGUCCGCUGUGAAAGUCCAGGGCUCAACCCUGGAAAGCCGGUGGAAACUGUCAAGCUUGAGUCCGGAAGAGGCGAGUGGAAUUCCUGGUGUAGCGGUGAAAUGCGCAGAUAUCAGGAGGAACACCAAUGGCGAAGGCAGCUCGCUGGGAAGGUACUGACGCUGAGACGCGAAAGCGUGGGGAGCAAACAGG
rnacentral:rRNA from 1 species